CUCCCCCACCAGCUCACCCACCUCUCCUCUGUCACCUCUGGCUCAAAGACUGAACAUUGCUGAAACUCGCCAGGUACCGAGGAGGAUCGGUUCAGUUCUGUCUCGCCUGUUGAGAAGAGACUCUGUGAACAGCAGAGAGGAGAGGGAGGCUGAGCUGCAUCUGUACGCCGUAUCACAUACGUCCAGACUUUACCUCCAUCUACAGAGCUCAUGGAACAGCUUCAUUAUUAAGUCCACUCUGUUGUUGGACCCGCUCUACAGAAGGAGGUGCAGCGCUUCAUCCGGCUCCUCUCAUGGAAAGCAACUUCCUGCCAUCAGCUGGGAGCGGACAGCUCACCUGUUUGGUCAGCUGAGCUCUGAGCUCCUGCAGGAGGAGAUCAGUGUGGAGAGUCUCUACCUGCUGCUGCAGGAGCUGAAAACUGCUGCUCACCGCAACGUCGCACUACGCAGACUCUUCUGGA